CCUAAUUGGAGGCCAGAGGAAGUCUCGGUAUUAACCGAGGCUUGCCUCGAGUAUCAGGAUGUACUCCGAGGAAGACUGUCAGCUCGGCUCACCUUUCGACAAAAAACACAAAGUGGGAGAUUGCCUCGCGAGUAAACGCAAUCAGGAUGUUGGCAAGAAGUGUGAGCGAGGUAAAUGUUUUUCGACGUUGCUGUAAUGUGUGAGGAAAGGUGUAUCCGGGAGGAAAACUAUCAGCUCAAAAAAUUGCUGGCUCCACAAUAACCAUUGCUAGUCGUUUUACAGGGUAAAAGCGACCAGUGAGUCUUACGGUGUGGUUACACAAUAAUGCGCGAAGACACCUUUAUAUAAUAAAAAUUAUAAUUAAGUAAUGACGUAGUAUAAUCUAGAUCUUAUUUUUACAGUGCAAAGUUAAGUGGAGUAACAUGACGACGGAUGUUAGGAAGAAAGAGAGGCACAACGUGGCCGAAACACGUCGAACAGGUGCAUCAUAAACGUUCAUCAAUUGAAUUUCCUUACAUGCGAUACAACGAUGAUCAAAAAGUGAUUAACGAUGAUCGCAAAGUGUUAUCUCCAGCGAUAAAUGUUUGCGUUGGUUUGCGAUGUUACACUACUUGCUCCGCAUUUUGCGGUUCCGCAUUUUCUGGUAGCUCCGACUACCGGACGUCCCGCUUAUUUAGGUCAACUGAGUUUGCGUUCUUCUCGUGGCGGUAGCUGUGUGGAGCGGGUGCCUUUUCAGGUGCUCCCGGUGAAUCCUGUCCAACCGCUCUGAACGUGAGUUAUUUUCUGUUAUAUGAAUGCGGAUAGAGGUAUAUUUGGUUUAAGAACAAUUUAUGUUCGUGAUAUUUCAAUGGUAAAAUUGUGUCAGCCGUACGUUAGUAUUUGUCGUUAUCUUGCGUUGGCGUUGUGUGAAUUUUCUAUGUAAGAUACGUUACGUACGCCAUAUUAUGACUGUUCGUUGAUAUAUAUUGCUAAUGCAUUGUAUGUAGCCAUUGAGUUUAAGUAGCCGGGAUAUAGUCUGAUGUAGAGUCGUAUAUUCGUUGCAGCCCGGGAAAUGGGUACCUGUUAUCUGUUGAUGUAAAUUUGAUGUGAGGCCCGUGACGUAUUCGAGGAAAGGCUUCAGCGUUUUGUAAGUAAAUUGGACGGUUCGCGCUAAAGUGCAGGUAGCCGUGAUAUCAGAAUACCCUGGAAGAUAUGUCGGAAUAUUAGUGUAUCAGAAUACCCCCUGGUAACAUAUGUCGGAAUGUUUGUCAUGGGGCGCAGAAUAUGUGUUACGUGUAGCGGAAUGUUGCCGUAGGGCGCAGAAUACCCCAGUAAUAUAUGUCAGAAUAUCCAAAGGUUCUAUCGUAUGAAUUAGAAGUGAAAUGGAGACUUAUCGCGUGUGCAAAGUUGUCAUUUGUUAGCAGUGUAUCGGUGAUACCUAUGUAAUGUGCGACUUGAUUUCAUUAUUGUGUUUGUGUGUGUAAUUUAAAGUUUGUAAUUUCUAUGUGUUACAGUCUACCAUCACGCGUCACAUCAUUACGCCACGUCACGCAUUACCAUCAUGCGUUACCAUAUGCGUAGAAAAUAAAAUGGCUGGUUGAACCGCAGCCUGAGUCUUCAUGUUCUUCCUCGUUUCGGCGGGCGCACGUCACACAAAGCCUAUUGUAAAGACGAAUAGUUAUGAUAUUAACACCCUUUCCUUAACGUUAAGAUUAAGAUGAAGGUUAUAGACUAAUUUUAUUUCUGACAUCGACACCCAGGAGGAGGAUAAGUAUGUCUGACAACAUUAUCAGAUGUUGAAGCAAAGAUUUUAGAAUGUUUCAUCCCGCCGGAAAGCGUUGCUGGUGUGACGGGAGGGAUGGAGAUAUCGGGCCCAAGCACUGCAAAUGCUGAUGGCGUUGCCUUCAUCGACAUGAUGACAGCGAUGACAGACAUGACCCAUGAACCUCCCCCGAAAAAGGCCAGAAAAGUUGAAAACUCGUUUGAACAAGAAUAUUUGGAGAUGAAGCGACAAAAUCAGAUUGACAGGUACAUGUUAAUUAGUGGUCUUGGUGGCAAGCUGUACUAUGAAAUCAAUUCUUUUAACAAUUUAUCCCCUGGGUGACACAAUAAUAUUUGGCACACCAAAUGUCUAUAACACAUAAAAAUAUAAAUAAUGUAAAACAAUUUCUUUAUCCCAUAGGAAUAGAAGACACCAGGAACUGGUGCAGGAAUUAAAAAACAUCACUAAAGAGUGUAAGCCUUAUAAAUAUAGUCUCUCUCUCUCUCUCUCUCUCUCUCUCUCUCUCUCUCUCUCUCUCUCU